UGAGUUCGUACGCUGGACGGCCCAAGGAGGCUACCAAGUCCAUACAACCACUGCUUCAAAAGGCCAACAGCGUCGUGCCUCAGAGGCUUAUGAAAACGACUCCCGUUAAACUUGGGGCGACGGCCGGACUCAGGCUGAUCGGAGAUAAGCAGGCAAAGCAGAUACUUGACGCGGUCAGGGGCGCUGUCCACACUAACACCAAGUUCAGUACAAUCCCAAGUGGAUCAAUGUUCUCGAGGGAUCUCAGGAAGGAUCCUACCUAUGGGUCGCUCUGAAUUACCUGCUGGAUAAGUUGGGAGGAGACUACUCGAAAAUGGUAGGUGUGAUUGAUCUUGGAGGUGGGUCUGUGCAAAUGGCAUAUGCCAUUUCUCCUGACGCUGCUGCUGCCGCACCACGAGUGCCUCACGGCAAGGAUCCUUAUGUUACAAAAGAGUAUCUCAAGGGAAGAGAUUACAACGUUUAUGUUCACAGCUACUUACGCUACGGCGCCUUAGCUUCUCGUGUAGAGAUCUUCAAGGCUAAGGAAGGACCAUUUAGCUACUGCAUGCUUCGUGGCUUCAGUGGUAA